UUAAUUGAAGCCAAAAAAGAGGCAUAUCACUGUUAAUGAUAUCAUUGAAAUCAAUUUCCAAUUAAA
rnacentral:tRNA from 1 species